UACGUAGGGGGCGAGCGUUGUCCGGAGUUACUGGGCGUAAAGCGCACGCAGGCGGUCUGCUAAGUUUGGAGUGACAGUUGGUGGCUUAACUGCCAAAGUGCUUCGAAAACUGACAGACUUGAGGCUUCAGAGGGACACGGAAUUCCGGGUGGAGUGGUGAAAUGCGUAGAGAUCCGGAGGAACACCAAAGGCGAAGGCAGUGUCCUGGGAG
rnacentral:rRNA from 1 species